AACGAACGCUGGCGGCAUGCCUAACACAUGCAAGUCGAACGAGACCUUCGGGUCUAGUGGCGCACGGGUGCGUAACGCGUGGGAACCUGCCCUUAGGUUCGGAAUAACUCCCCGAAAGGGGUGCUAAUACCGGAUAAUGUCUUCGGACCAAAGAUUUAUCGCCUUUUGAUGGGCCCGCGUUGGAUUAGCUAGUUGGUAGGUUAAAAGCCUACCAAGGCGACGAUCCAUAGCUGGUCUGAGAGGAUGAUCAGCCACACUGGGACUGAGACACGGACCAGAAUCCUACGGGAGGCAGCAGUGGGGAAUAUUGGAAAAUGGGCGAAAGCCUGAUCAAGCAAUGCCGCGUGAGUGAUGAAGGCCUUAGGGUUGUAAAGCUCUUUUAACCGGGAUGAUAAUGACAGUACCGGGAGAAUAAGCGCCGGCUAACUCCGUG
rnacentral:rRNA from 1 species